ACUUCUCAAUCACACAAUGUUGUGUUCAAACAUCUUGUGUGACUUGGAUAAUGGGAUUGUUUGCUGGCUCCAGCAGUCGGCUGUCCUGAAAUACAUUAGCAAAGCUAUUUGUUGCUAAUCUCUGGUGUGAUAAACUAUCUACGCCUAUGAGAAGCUUCCAUGGGCUUGGCUUUCUAAUUGUCCUCUGACAAACUCUUGACA
rnacentral:misc_RNA from 1 species